UGGACAACAGACUUCGUAAUUGAAUAGUGUUUUGUGUGGUGCCGGUUCGCGUUCAUCGAAUUUAAAAUGGAGUUGACUCGAUGCAAAUUUAUGGAGUGUCUCUGGAGUACAUUUCUACCCAUCGGACAUUUCUCCUAGGAGUUUGAUACGAAAAAACAGCGAGUGAGUCUUCCUCGGGAAAGUCUUACAAGAAGAGAAAUAUCAGGAAUGUGGCUGCUUUAGUGGAUUUUGAUGAGUGUUUGGCCUCUGGAAUGUUGAAAUGGACUAUGCAGCCUCUUAAUUAUGGUGUGCCAAAUAGCUCCAGAACAUUCUGAGUGACUCGGACGAGGAAGUUCUCUCUAAAAUUGGGAAGUAUCGAGUCAUCUGCUGCCUGGUCAAUCCUCCACCUCAUUUGCAUCACCUUCCCUCUUUGGAUGACGACUAUUUCCGUCCCAAUGAAGGCCACGACCCUGAUAACGACCGCCAUUCCAUUGACCACCAUCAAAUUCAACAUUCUUGUAAAAGCCAAUAUGUAAGUUUUUACUCAAAUAAAAUUAAAAUAAAAACUAUAAAAAAUUUUAAUUUACAGUAAACCAUAUUUUUCCCAAAAUUUUACAAAUUUGCCCAGAAAUAUCGCCUGUCCAAAAUUGGACAGUUUAUGGACAGUCAUACCGAGAAGGAUAUCCUGGUGUACAGGUCUCGGUAUAUCCAAAAGAUAUCCGCCGGAUAUCCAUUACGGAUAUCCGAAUUGUAUCCGUUAGCGGAUAUCUUUU